UCUUCGAUGGUGAUCUAAGUGUAAACGUGCAGUUUAUUGUGUUUCAGUGUAAAAUUAAUAAAAGUAGUAAUAAAAGUAAUAAUAACAUCUAUAUAAAAGUAAUAUGCUGUAAGAGUGCAUCGCCCGUAUUUAUCACGAAAACGCCUACGAUAUCCCGAGAAUCCUUAUCACAUCAAAAUCCUGACAACAAAUUUCUUCUGUCAUUUUAAGGUUAUGUUUCCGUUUUAUAUGCAUGAAACACAUAAGCGUUCAAAUGUAUCCGGUUAUUUUCUUAUGUUUAACAAAAUGUACUUUAAUUACUACAUUACUAGUAAAUCAAACUGUAAUGAUUACAUUUUUAGCUAUCAUUAUAUAGUAUCGGUAAAUAAUUAUAAACUCAACAAUAUUUUUACAUUUUUCAUUAUGUUGACUGAAAACCUUAAGUAUCCAUUUAUCUAUUUCCAUAUUGUAGUGUGAAACAGAGUUGACGUAUAUAGAAGCUGAAAUUUUGUUCUUGGGAAAUCUAACAAAAUUUUAAUUGUUUCUUAACUAUGUACGUUUACUAAUGCAGUUAUUAAAUACAUUUGGAUUGAAUGAAGUAUGAACAAGGAAGUAUUGGCGUGGAGAUGAAUUCGUUGUCAGAGACUUAAUUAUCAACACUCUCAGGUUAUGUAUGAUAGAAAACUGAAAAUGAUCAGGUAUAUGUACAUGAUACCAACUUGUAUGAAAUUAUGAGAAAAUAUUUCAUAGCAAUUUAUAUCAAAUACAUAUGUGAAGUUGAACAAUAGAUAUAGGUACUGUAUUAAAAUUAUUUGUAGGUAGUACAGUGAAUGUGUUAACAUAAGUACUAUGGCAACAUAAUUCUGUUUAAUGACUGUUUUAAAAUUUGCUGUCACCGUAAACACUGAUGACUUCAAAAGUAUCAAAGGUUCUUUGUCGUUCUACUAGCCAUCUUCUCAUCUUCUAUACAACAUAACUUCCAUCAUACCAUAUGUAUAAAAAGGUACUGUAUUCCCUGUAAUUCAUAUUAAUAACUUUACUAAUAAUAACUACUAUUCUGUAUGUCCUCUAUAUUCAAAAGCAGAAGAAAAAAUUCAAAGUUUUAGGAAAAUGUCUAUAAUUCAUUUUUCCUUAUUUUAUGAAUAACAUAGGAAACACAAAAGGCAAUCAUUCGUGUCUAAGCAAAACUCCGAAUAGGGUUGUAGUUUCAGAGUUGCGGGUUUCAUUAACAUUACAACACGCUAGGGAAGGUUCUAUUAUGUAGUUCGAAGACUUUACUGCUGUAAUCGCGGUGAUUACGUCUCAUAAUUAGACUGGGAAUUUUUACGCAUUUGUGGAAAAUUUAAAUGUUAAAAUAAACGAGAAAUAUUUAAGGUAAGGUACUUGUGAUGUUUAAAAGGCGCAACAAAUCUUAGCUUGGGCUUCAUUUCUCGCUAUAUAGGUCACCGAUGUUGUGUUAAUAAAGUUUCAAAAUGUUUUGCAUAACGCACUCAAUAUAUGCAUAAAUGCUAACCAAAUGCGAUAUAUCAUAAAUAUAUGCAUAAAAGUUUCCCGUGAUAAAUAUUCAAAUUCUACCGUGAGUCGCCAUAAUCAACUGACAUUACUACUCGAACGAAAAUUUGAUCGUUACUCGUGAACAAUCGCGUUUCUGAAUCUAUGCGUGCUAGAGUGAGAAGGAUGAAUGAUUGAACGGAUUGGUGACGUGAUCUUGAUUGAACCGACCGGCGAUGCCCGCGGCUGCGUUAAAAAUUCGCACGAGAUCGAUCCGAUUUCCGACUUCUACGUGAACAGUGGAAAAAUGAUAACGUCGACUAGAACCUCAGCCUCGUUUUUGUUUGGACGUUUUGGAUAAUAAACAGUGGAACAGAAAAGAACGUUCGACGAGAGAAAAUAACAAUUCUGCAACACGUACCGGAACCAGUUUCCUGGAAUUUCCACCUCUUCGUUUAAAAUAAUCUCGCCCUUUACACAUCGCAAACUUCGCAGCCCAAUCGUCACGACAACCCCCAUCGCGUUUCUCCGGUUUCCACGCCAGCCGCUGUAAUCGUCCAGAAUCCCCAUAGCGGCGCGAUAUACGCGUAUAUGUAUGGCGCGCAGAGCCGUGUUAGCGGCAAUCGUGCCGACGAUAACGACGCUGGAUGUAAACUGCGAAGUUACCAGGUUAGAACCAAUCGUGUAACCAAAGCUGUAUCUCGCGUAACGCGCCUUAAGGAGCUCCCCGAUUGGCGUUCGAGCAGAAAUUUGUAGCGCGAGUUAAACCUCGAACCUUCGGUUGAAGGAAUGGAAUUUUCGUGCACAACUAUCGCAGGCGAAUCAUUGAACUGGGAAUGUUAACCAUUUGGUAAUUGUCGAUGCAACUUGAUAUCGUUUGUUGAAGUAUCGUCUGUAGUUUUUGCUUCAGUGUACAAAUAGAAAGCUGUGAAUCCGUUUCUGCGCUCUACUUCUCAGUGGAUGUUAGAAAACACGUAUUUUCCACUAUCAUAUAAAGAAUGUCAUCAAAGAUUUCUGGAAUACGUAGAAAGAUAUUGAGAAAAGGCGAAUAUUUUCAAUCGAAUCGAAAGAAGAGAAAGGAAUUGAUGAAACUCCCGGCUUGUCGAGUUUUUUUUCGCGCCAAUGAUUGGAAAAUUUCAUUUAAUCUAAAAAGUAUUCGAUUGUUCUGGCUGGCGUAGCAGGAGGAACUUCCCGUGGAAAUUGUUCGCCUUUAACAAGAAGAUUCUCUGCAGCAUCAUCGAGAAGGAAUUCGGUAUCCGUUCGUUUCCUCUGGCCCAGGUCGAGAGUAUCCCGGGGGGCGAGAAAAGUUUCCUACCCCCUAUAAAAAAUUAUUCUUUGUUCCCCACCGAUAGAGGUUCGAGCGAGAGGUUUUUCUUUGACAACUUAUCUCCAGGCCGUCGAACGGAAUGCCGUGAAAUUCAUUAAACUCUUACGUCGUCCCACCUACCAAAGGGGAUCGAGGCCUUCUUUGUCGAAAAACCGGACUUAUUAUCUCCGGAAAGCUCAUCUGAAAGUCAUUCGGUGCCUUUGUGAAGAUCGACGCCCUUUGCCGGGUGUCGAUAUUAAAUCGACGCGGCCAAUUUACCCUCGUAACGAGACCUAACGAAAUUUUCGUUGUUUGUCGGUUUAUCGUGGCUUUCGUUUGCUUUGCAUUCUUGGGAGUCAUCCGUGCGCCUCGCUUAACGCGUAAUAUAAUAUUAACGAACGAGAAAGAUUCCAACGAACUUGAUACUUUUUUUUAUAUACUGUCUAUAUCUAUAAUCAGUUAGUUUCCGUGGUACAUAUAUCUAACGCAUCUUUUGCAUUUUAUUUAUGUAUUUUUUAAAAACAUAUUUGGCCAAAUAUAGAUUAGAUUAAUUAGCUUGUGUUAGGGCUGCUAAUAUAAUUACUAGACUAUGAAUGUUUAGCGAUACUAAUGAAAAACUACGUGCUUUUUUAUACAUGUAUUACAAAGGUAUAAUAUUGUACGAUAUUUAAAACAAAUAUAACUAUGUAUUUCAAUGUUUACAAAAGGAAAUGUUAGAAUAACUUAUCAACGUUCUCACGGUUAACGAUAGGAAUUUUUAAAUCGAAAAAUGAAUUGAUAUGAAUGUGAAAACAUCGCCAGUCGCGACUCCGAUACUCGAGCGAUAAAACGUUUCGAUAUAGACUCCACCGUCUAUUCUAAACGUUCAUCGUUUGCUCAAUCUCUUUUAUCUCGAUUAUUCUCGAAAAUCGUGUAUGCGUUCAAACUCGCUUUUACGGAAACCUAUAUUUUUCCUCUCUGAAAAAAAAAUUGUAUAUCUUUUAUUUCACGCUUUUUAUCCACUUUUUCACGGAGAAUCGCCUCUUUUCUUGUCCCGUUAUAUAUCGCGUUGUAUAUUUCCUCGCUUGGCCGUUAUUCCUUUAUCGAACCGCGUAAAAAUGUCAUAAAACCGUGCGUGCAUAAAGCCGCGUCUCCAAUGACUCGAGACCGAUCUUAAUCCUAUAACAUCGACGACGUGUUAUUCCACGAUUUUCUCUGUGUUCGGUUUCUGUUUCUUGUGCGUUCGAUCUCUCGCGAUCAUCUUAUUCGUUCUAAGCACAAACGAUAGAAAAUAAUCGCUGUUUUACGACGUCUUUCCAAAGAUACGUUUCUUUAUUCCAUCGCGAUGUCGCUAUUGCGUUACCAUCGCAGCGACUAUUGUUUCUUCGUAUAGUCACUUAAAACGCCAUUAUCUUUGAUCGUUCUGUGCUGAUUUAUUCCAUCGAGAAGAAUAAAACAGAAACAAAAAACACGAGUACCUACGAUACGAUUUACCUUCUAUUUUUAUAUUUUUAUUUGUACAUGUUUUAUCGUCAGGAGAGGAUUUUCACGAGAAAAUGUGGAAAUCUUAUUCUAAUUUCUAGUUCAGAGAUAUUUCCACCUUGAUAUAUCGAAUGGAAUGGCCUAUAUCUCGUCCCAGUCUAACAAAUUUUUAUCGGUCAAAGCGUUCCGGAGAUCGCCGAGUUUUUCCACGACACUGCCAUUAAGUCUUUCCUUUGCCGCCUCUUUCUCUCGUCCCGGCGCUGGAUUGUCGCGGUAUCUUACGCCGCAUCUAUCAUUUCUUAUCGCCAACGUCCACGUUUCCUAAGAUACGGUGAAAAUAAUCGCGAUGUUGGCGAUAUUUUUAGGAUGAUGCAUCCUCUUUCUCGCGAGGACGCGCCGCGCCGACACUAUUUUCCAGAAUUUUGAGCGUGACACCUAAACCCUCGUUCACAUCACGACCAAGUUUCCCAUCUUCCUAACUUACUCGUGCAACGAAAAACCUAGAAAAGUUCUACGUCCUAUAAUUAAACUACGUCAGAAACUCUUGCAAAUUUAAUUCUUUGUUUCGCUCGUAAUAUUAAUCUUCCUAACCCCAUUCCUUAUGGGCGAAAUAAAAUUGCAACGACACGAAUUCUUUACACGUCAAUCGUCGAACGUAAACGGUAGAACGUUGUUUCGAUAGAAAUACGGAUAUCGCGUAGUGUUCUGCUUUUUAAUAAAAAUAAGAACGUGCAAUAUAGAAAGUAAUAAACAGUUUAUAAAACUCAAGAUAAUAAUAUUAAUAUAAAAAUUAUUAUUAAUUAUUAAAAUAAUAAACUAAAAUAGUUUAUGAAACAGAGUUUAGGUUUCAAAAUUCAUGAUGGAAGUUGUGUAGGGAGCCUAGGACACACUUCCCGGCUAUUUCCAAUAAAAUGUUCUUUAGUAGAGGCUCUUAGGGAUAUUUCUUUGCAAGAUAAGCACAUGUUUACAAUGGUCUCGUCGUUUUAAAUAUAAGUGACGAAGAGAGGGAACGGACAGCCGCGUUUCGCCAGUCCAACGUUUCCACCGCUUCAACCGUAUAAUCUCUGGACGGGAAUUUCGUAGUCGCUAGACGCGAUAUCGCCUUAAGCUGGUCUUAAUUACGCGUUUCUAAUUACUCGCACGACUUUGGUGUGUUGGAUAUGUUGCCACGUUCUCCGGGAAAAUCUGCAUUUAGACGCGUUUACGCUAACUUCGUUUACGUUAAAUCGCCUAUGGCUGGCUGGCAAAAUGAUUACGAAGAUCGUCCCUGCUAAAUAAUUAAUGUUAUAGGAAUUACCUUGUUCGCCAAGUAAAAGUGUUAUAGUGUAUUUUUAAGAACUUGAUUACUCUGAUUUACGAAGUUUGCUAUUACGAAACUUCUACUGUUUACUAGUUCUAUUAAAACUACAAUCUGAUAACACUUUCUUCUUGCCAAUUAAAAAGUUCUGUAUUAUUAACAAAGUCAACGGUAUCUCAAAAAAAUUAAUUAUUAGAAAUUGCACAGAAUAUCCUUUAAAAAUUGAUUAUUCUUAUUCAACAAUUAUUGCUUUCAUAGAAUGUACAUCGUUAAAUAUUUGGUAAAAAUUAUUCGCUCGGCAGAUCCUAUGAUAAAAUUUCUGUUUUGUAAAUAUCGAAGUAUUUGUAGAAUAUUUUUUAAAAAACGAUAAUUCAAUAUUAAUCUUCUCUGCAUCGUAAAAAGAAUAGGAGGCUGCAAAAGGGAUAAAGAACUGUCUGUGAGUUCUUCAACGGGAUUCAAAGGGUGCACGCGAGAUCUCCAGCUUUAAUAUCGAGCUCUACCAUCGUUCGUUAUUAACGGUCCGCAGCAGCAGAAAGUGGCGGAAAAACCGGCGAAGAAAUGAGAAAAACCCUCGUGGUCCCUCGGUGAGCUUCCGGCUGUGUGACGAGUGCUUAACAAAGUAGCCUAACAGCUGCCGCAUCUAAACGCCACGUUUUACCCUUGUCAGUGUUGCUGCUCUCUCUCUCUCUCUCUCUGUUUUCUAAAAUCGUGGCGGAAAGACGUACCCAAUCUAGACCGUGAAAACAAAUAGCCAACAAAGAAAGAAACAAAACGGAAGAGACAAAAAAAGGGGUGGGGGAAGACGAAAAAAAAGGAACAAAGAGUAGAAUCGUUUUCAUUUCAAGCUAACUUCUAUUCUCUUUCUCCCUCUCCCUUUUGUUGUUACAGGGAAAAAAGCUGAGGGGAAACUACCCCCUUAUUCGUCCUACCCCAUCCACCUCUCAACCGUCCGCGAAUGGGAAAUUCAAUUUGCCGGCCGGCUUUCUUAUUUGAUCGUGCGCAAACACAAAACGGGGACGAGCCUCGUUUCGUUCUGCUUCACCCUCUUUGCGCUCGUUGCAUUUUUCAAAAUCAGCUCGUGGCCACGCGGAAUUGAACUCACUAGAGGCUCUUGUAUCGCGGAAACGAAUUUGCAGCCUGGAAAUGGAUCGUUCUCGUGCAUUCUGUCUUCGAAAUCGAGGGAAAUACGCGGCUGGAUGGAUUUUUUGACGGAGAUUCCGUCCCUCCGAGACGCGAGCACGUCGGAUUCGAGAAGGGGUGUGGGAUCGAUUUAAUUGUCUUCUCGUUUCGCAAAGAAUGCCUUAGGGUGGCUGAAGGGAUUUCCACGGGAUGUUACAGUCGUCGAGUAUCGUUUAGGGGUGGAAGACUGAUUGCGUGAAAGCGACGUCGAUCGCUGGAAAUUGAUUCGACGUGAAUUGGAACUCGGGGUAGUUACGGGGGUUAAUACAUUCGCUAUCUUCUGUGGAGAUUUUCUAAAUGUUUUUUUGCGCUUUUGACACGCGGAAAUUAGGGGAAAAUUUCUGCUCCUGUAUUUUUCUCUUCUUUUUAUUUUUUAGAAACUUCUUCGGGAAUUUUUUAUCUCGAUUCUUGAGAUUCGUAUAUUAAAAUACAGAUAUAAGUUACGGAAAUUAAUAUCUACAUUUAAGAUUUCUUAAAUAUAUUUUAUACCUUUAAAAUAUGGAAGUUAUGAUUUAUGGAAUACGGGACGAAUUAAGCAUGGAAUAUUUAAAAACUUCCUACUUUUUUCAUGAAAAAUUCCUUUAAUCCAGAAUUUGUAUGUUAAGGUGUAUGAGAUAUCGAGAUGUUUUUUGUUUCGUAUCGCAAAAAUCUUCCAAGAAAAUUGAAAACACUUAACAAUUAUAAAUGUGGAUUCUUAUAGACUGCUUCAAAAAUAUAUCCCCUUCGUUUAAUAAAUUUCCAAGCUUACUCUAGGUUUUACUUUUAAUUUUUCACAACUUGAAGAGUAAAAUAUUUAAGAAAAAUGUAGGUGCUCUUUCUACGUUAUUUGAAAAUUCCUAUGAAAAUUUCCUCUAGAUUUCUUCGCAUUGUUAAAACUUACAAAGUUUAUUAGACUGUGCGAUAUUUUCCUAAGCUUUUGAGAAACUACUCAGAGACAAAGGAUUUACAACCCAAAGCACUUCGGCAACCAAACACUCGAAGCUGAAGAACUCGAUAAAUAGAUCCAAUGUUCCAUUCACCGGCCAUAUUCAACGGCACCCAUUAAAAGUAACACUCGAGGUAGCAACCCCUCACCUCGAGGCAUCUUAAAUCACGUUCCAUUACCCGACGAACGUCACCCGUGGAUGGUGCUGGCUCAUCGGCAACUAAGAAAAAGCCAACCGCGCUUUCUCUAUCCGGAGACGAUAAAUCACUCGUACCCGACCAUUUCAUCGAACUGUCCCUAACUAAAUAAGAUUAACGACGCAUCCAUUAUUGACAUUCAACGUAAUAAAAUCAACGAAAUUAUUUUCGUACCAAUUUCCAUCGCGAAUAUUACCACUAUAAAAAAUUUCAUCUUUCUUUAUUAUCUGAAUUUCUAAAGGCAAACUUUCAUUCAGGUCUCGUCUCUUAUACUCUUACCGUUCCCUGAUUCCCUCCAACACCAACUACGGUUCCAAUCACCGAUUAGCUGAACUGUUUCUAACUAAACAAAAUGAAAAAUAUAUUUUACGAUAAAAUCGGCGAAAUUACGUUAUUAAUCGUUUCUAUUCGGCAGUUGUCCAUCUUCAGGAGUUCCAUCUUUUCCCUUUAAUUAUACUUUCCUUUCAUCUUCCAAAGGCAAACUUUUAUCCAGCUCUGAUCCCUAAGGAUUUUACAAUCCUUAUUUUCCUCAUACCUAGAGCUGCAACCCUCGAUUGCCGUUUUCAAUGUCCUGUUUCCCUUCACUGUGCAGUAUGGUCUCAUACACAGGGGCGAUAAACGACGUUUAAUCAGGUUAAGAGAAGACCCUGGAGCCUCGCCAACUCCGUGCGCAGGAUUUUUCGAAAGUACCAGGGGUUGAACGUAACUCACAGCUAGGCUUGAAUUUUCGAUCGCGGCAGGGUCCGUUGAGAGCGGCAGAAACCGUUUCAGCACUGUCUUUGAGAAAUAACGCUUCUUAGGUAGUGAAAUGACGAGCGUGAGAGCGAGACGAAGAUUAUCUGGACGGGAAAUGUACCGUAGAGGGGGCUGAAGAAAAGGUUGGGUGUUUAGUCGCGAAAAGAGUGGGUCACGCGUUUAUUGAAUUAGGGCUUUAGGUUGGAGAUUUCGUUGUUUGCGAAUUAAAUUACGCUAUCUUCUGCGAGUGAAUAAUAUUAUCGUGAACAAUAAAUGAAUAAAUCGGGGGGACUGUUGAAGGAAAUUUCUUCGUACUCGAACCGUUGAAACGUACAAUUAUUCUCUUCGUGUAAAAGUUGUUCCACUCCGAAUCGACUAGUUUUAUUCGAUGUUUUAUCGAUAUCUGAAUUUUCGUUCCAAUUAAACUAUACCGCGAUUCAUAUACAAGUAGAAGGCGUUUAAGUCAUCAUUUUGCUGCUUCUGAAAUUGUUUAAGAGCUAUAAUUUAAUUUAUUUAAAAGCUAUCUAAUUAUAUAAAAGCGCGAAAGAAUUUUUGAUCUAUCGACUAUUAACUCCUCCGCGUAACAUGUCACCAAAAGUCGUUUCAAUCGCUCGGUUCCAACAUCUCCGAAACACUCGCGAACUUUCUGAUUGCAAAUUACACGGCGAACGGAAAUUGUGCGUGCAGCGUUGGAAACAAUUCCUAGUUCAAACGCGAAAGGGAUUACGGCAGUUGAACGUCUCGGAACACUUGGAAAUUCUCGAGAAAACAAGAUCGCUGAUAAGCCUUCUAUCCGCUUGUCCGUAGACGAGGCCUCUCCUGUCACGGCUUCUUGCCCCCUAACAAUCGAUAUCGCGGCUGUAAUCGACCGGCAACGAUGUAACGCUCUCGAGAUACUUGGUAUUGGCAGACGGGUUGGACAUGCGCCAUUUCUUGUCCUCUUGCAAAUGUUACCAGUCCAGGAAAAUCGUCGCUGAAUCAACGAAAGGUUUCACACCUUCACCGUGGUUGUUUGAACCUUCGUGGAGGAUUACCUCUUGGAAGGACAAAAAGAAAGGGAGAGUCUCGUAACACCCAUUCGACCUGCCAGUGUCGUUUCUAGGGGAUGGAAGUGUUUUCUUUAACGUAGUCGGGUUGAUAGCUGGCUUUCGUGGGAAGUUGGAGUUUAGCUGGAGGACACAGUUAAUGGACCUUUUAUGAGUAAAGAGGAUUAUUCCGAGGGUUCUUGGCUCACUUUUUGUUAGGAGACAGGGCAUUUCGAAUUUCGGGAUAGGGAUUGUUACUGAAGUUGGUUUAAUUGAGAGUUGCGCUGGAAUGUCGCGUUAGAGACAGAGUUUCACUGAAACUCGGACCGUCGACAAAAAUCCUAUUUCACGCGAAGGGUGGAAGUAUGUUUUUGCGAGACUCGCUACUGAAAUUUCGGAAUUCCGAUAUUUCGAUUUUCAAACCAUGUUCCGUUCGAAAAAGUGAGAGAAUUCUUUCGAAAGGAUAAAAAAAGAAAAAAUAGAGGCAAAGACAAGCGAAUCAGGACGAUUUAGAUCUUCCAAGAUUCGAGUUAUCUUGGACAUGCGACCUCGUCGUUUACGGAAGAACCGUUCCCGCUGAAGAGCCACUUUUUUACUCGAAGUGACUGUACUCAAAGUGUCACGGAGAAGAUCACGCCCUGGCCUCAGAGUUCGAUUCUGUCUCGACUGAUUAGCUCUUUUAUCCUCGACGACUUCCUUCUCGCCGAACGAAUUACUUCCAACUUUUCUGCCUCAAAGAACCGAAUGCCUCGAGAGUAUCGAAAUUCCAAACUUCCACUUUGAAAGAAAUAAAAUCCUUACACGCGUUAUAUAAAAUAUGAUAAGUAUCGUUUUGUCGAUGUUUUAAUUUUUAGACAGUCGAUUACGCGAGCGCAAAACAAGUGAAAUAUUUUAGCCGUCAGAAAUAGCAGCUAUUUUUAUCCAUAUCCAUACUCUAAAUGUUGUUAGUAACAUUCGAUCUUGAAUAACAACGCAGAAAGAACAAAUUUUACGUUCCUUCCUCCAUUACUCGAAACAUAGAAGGAAGCCAAUAAUCUGCUUGGAACCGAAGCAAACAUUCUGGGACGAGCGAGUAACGAGAACCCUCUGAUGCGAUUGAAGUGCUGGCAGUAUACGUUUCUCGGUCUUAUCAUAAAUUAGCAAGUCUGCCAACGGAUUAAGUCGUCCUCUAGGCCGUCUGUCCCGAUCGUUUCGUCGGUAUGCAUUUAAAGAAGGAUAAUCGAGGACGGCUCGCGACGGACCCAGCCUACGCGGGAAAGGGACCGUCCUCUAACGAGAAAACUUUCCCUCGACCGGCGAUUCCGGUUCCCUUAUUUUCCAGGGCACGCGCCAUCGUUCCUUCUCUCGGGAUUCAGAUUAAAUCCACGAGCACUUCGACUCUGUUGAAUCCUAUUUCUCUCUCCUAUCGCCUGACCCGACACCUUAAUGAACAAUUUACGGCUUCAGUUCGAACGACUCUUCUUUACCCGAGCGCUUUUUAUCAUAGCACUCUUGUUCCACGAUUAUCUUUCUUUUGUGACUCGAGAGUUGUAGAAAACUUGUUGUUUGGUUGGACUGGUGAUCUGUAAGCAAGUGAUAUAAAUAUUCUGUACAGAUAGAGAUUGGAACCGGUGCGUGUGCUUUUGGAACGCGUCGAGGAAUUUUCAGUUAAAGGAUUCGAGGAAGGACGAUGUUCGAAUAAAUGUUUUAAACCAUCGUUACGAAGUUAUUCUUUUCCAUCUUCCAGUAUUUGUUCAGACGUUGCAACUUUAGAGUAUUUAUCGAACUGACAGGCGUUUUGAAAAUCGCGGUCGUUUCAGUCAUGUAUACAAACGAAGCACGAAUAUUUCGCGACGUUGCACAUGGCACUGUUCGUUUUAACCCUCCGGGAGAAUUAUUCAAGCCAGCGCAGCGGAACGAACGAGUUCCUGGUAACUUAUUGUGAAACUUGCCGCACGGUUCGAAGAAAUAUAGUCCGUGGCUGUAAUAUGCUUGAAUUAUUGACUCGUGGCCACCGCCACGUCUCGGUGAAAACUUUCCGUAUAAACAGGAGACCGCGAAGCUUUCGUGAGACUGGCUGGAAAAUUUCGGAACUUUCCGUCGUGACGAGUUCACUGUCACCGGCACAUAUUUCAAUAAGUUUCAACAAGUGACUAGAUCGUUGGCGAACUCGAAGAAUUACACUAUCGUCCAUACACGUGUAUUUGCGGUAGAGAAAUAAUUUAGCUAUUUUGUCUCUAGAGCGUAAUUAUCUUUGUCAUAGUCCUCCCUGUCGAUUUUAAUGUUAAUAUGUUUCAUCGAAAACUUGUUUAGGAAUCUGCGAAGAAUAAUUUAUAGCAAAUUGAGUAUUUGUUAACUUUGUUAAUUGAGUUUGUUAUGAAAAUUUCUUCAAAAAGUAAUAGACGAGAAUUUACGAUAAAUCGAGCAUUUCUCGAUGUGCCUAGCCACGUAUGAUCCUUUUCUACUUAGGAGUUUGCAUCGAUUGAGCAUUGUCUGACGCGUCUGACCAUACACGAUCCUUUUCUCCUUGGAAAGAAACUCAGCUGUUCUUCCACGUAUAACUUGUACAUAAUAUGAACAACUCGUAUAUGAAAAUCUUCCUGUAUCUACAUUUCCUCAAGUGCCUAAUUAUUUCAAAUCAACGUGAAGUAUUUGAGCGUCUACCGAGCUUCCGCUCGAAGUAAACUCGAGUAGAAUUUCGUGAGCAAAGUUCGUAGCAAUUGUUCCGUACACAAUCUCAUAAACCGUCCACAAAGAGCGUAUUUGCAACAGUAAAAUCCUUAAUGCGAGCGUCUUCUUAGUUUUCCAUCCGUGUUGCAACAGGCAAAGGCAAAGUUUCGCAAACGAAUCAGCCAGAGGCGACAAUUUUGUACCACGCAACAAGCACACGCACGUAUGGCUAACUUCGUUUCCGGUAUUGUGUUCGUCUUAUUGUCACCGCCUGCCCUUCCCAGGCUCAGCUUUGUUUCAAAGCAGAUGCUAAACCUUCUUAGCCAUGUUCAUCAGGUUGACAAUUUCUGGAAGGUCUGCGAUCAUUGUAUUAAGUCGUGGAACCUCGAAUCUCUCUAUCGGCGCAUCACAGCGUUCCAUCCGCGCCAUUAUUCUUCGUAUUUUUUUCGACUAUUAAUCUCCACUUUUGCGUGGAAAAAAUUCGCGUCGCCCAAUGAGGUGUACCAUAUCUUCUAUUCGAAAUAUAUAAAUAAACGCCACGCCUACAAUUGUAAUUUAAUAAACGAUAAUUCUGCGAUUGAGAUGUUCUCAAGAUUCUGGUAAUCCUGACAUUCGUGUCCACGUCAUCAUAAAAACUAAUCUGUCGCGUGCGGUCUGCCUUGCAGUAUAUUCUAUCAACGUGGAAGCUGUCAGCGAAUUGCUCAGAAGAAGCAAACCUUCGUUACGUGUCAUCGAUAGAGUUUCGCGAAGCGUUCAAAGUAAUUUCGCUCGAAAAUUAAAAUAUUUUAUGGAAGAUUAAAUUGACUUUACUCUGUAGACGAAGACAUUUCCUAAGGGUGGAAAAAGCUGUGUGUGUUUUUCUUGUUUUUUUUUUUUCGUAUUUCGUUGGUUGGGAGGGUUCGUAUCCAAACAUCUUUUUUCCGCAAAUUCAACAAGAAAGAUAUUCCUUUGUCCAGGGUUUCUUGGUAGUCUGUGGUUUCACGAAACCACCAAGGAGAUCUGCAAAGAAAUGGAUUUAAACGUCUGGCGCGUAAAACUCGUUCGAUCGUCGCUUUUCCGCGCUCAUUCCCGCCCACGAAUACGCGUUUCCCUGGUGGAGUUUACAGACGACGCCGUUUCUGAACGACGCUUCGUUGGAAUGUGCCGGAUGAUACGAAACUCGCGAUCGGAAGGCAUUGUGUCGUUUAGGAGAUGGAAUUUUCUGUGUGGACUGGCUGAAAUUCGGUCGGUUAAAGCUCUUCCGUUUCCUUUCCACGGGUUUACGUGUUAGUCGUCGAAGAAUACUGAAAAGAAUGCCUUGGAACCAACUACUUGGAAAUCGAUUCUAUUGGCAAAUGCGGUUAGUGGGAUGUGCAAUAUUUGCUUCGAGGUUUUCAAAGUGCACGUGCAACUAUUUUAAAUCUGCAAAGUGUAGAUCCGUUCAAUUGUCAAAUAUCUACCUUUCUUUAACAGUCAUGAUCUUUUAAUGUAAAAGAAAAUUAUUUGAAGAGGAAGUAUUUUAAAUCAUUCAAACGAACAAAAAUUGCUAAAAUAAUGAAAUUGUUCUCGGACUCUUGAACUUCGUAGCGCUAGUGUGAUUCGCUAGCAACGAUUCCAAGCUUCCGAUCAAUAGCGUAAAACGAAAUUGUAUUGGCUCGCAUCGGGCAGCGAUAAUCGGAGCGAAAGAUGACUGAAAACAGGGUGUUAUUCGGUUACAUAAAUCGGGCGGAAGUGGACCGCAAUUCUCCCGGAUGCAAACAGCCACCAUGGCGGCCGCAAAUUCCCUCGUCGACCAGGCGUCACGGGAACGACGCAUAAUGCAUCACCGAAACACGCGCGUCCGAAUAUGCAUCUUGACUGACCGCACAGGGAUCGUACCACUAGCUACAUCACUGGCAAAGGAACGUGAAUUAACCCGGAUGCCAUUUUCCCUCCCGUUGACGAAAUGUCCGAGGGCUGGUUGAGCGGAAGGAAGAGGAUGGUUUCGUCUGUUUCUGACAUUCUCAACUGGAUGAACGAACGUCGCGCCGCUGAACGUUAUAAUCACGAUAACGCAGGAACGAAGACACGUUUCCUAUUUAAAUGAUUACCCAUAGAUGGGAAGACCGAAACAAAGUAGACGAAGACGCGUAAUAAUCGUCAAAGAGUUCUACCAUGACAUCGAAGAAACCUACAAACUGCAACGAUUUCUCACGAAACGCGAUAAUCGAAAGUAUCCGAAGAUUACCAUUGAAUUUUGUAACUCCCAAAAUAUCUGUAAAUCUAAUGAUGCCCCUAACGAUCCAAAAUAUUCAACAAUUAUCAAU